AGGUUCCUGACCAAGCUGGUGCUUCUGCGUGUGUUCCUGCAUGACUUGGUGUGUCCCCUUCUCUUGGAUCUGAAGAGAAGCAUGAGGUUACAUCUGUAAUCUCCCUGCAGCAGAGUCAACUGCAUAAGAAACCAAAAGACACACCUGCUCCAUGCCAGGUUAGUACCCACCCAUCACCCUCAUAAUUUUGCCAAAACUUUAGAUAUGUUUGUGAGUAUUAGCCAAGUAUGUGUAUUAAAAAUCUGUCUUCCCAGAAGUUGAGUUUGAUGUCUUUUUGACAAUGUUCACGGACUCCCAACGUGUUAGCUUCCAGUAAAAAAGGUGCUAUAAGAAAGACCCUUGGUUUUAUAGAUUGUUUCAUCCGCACUGGAUGCCAUGUGUAUGUAGCUGGCACUUUGGCAGGCUGUAAUAAGCCAUUAAGACUCCGUUAGACCCUGCUCUUAGCCCCAUGUUUUCUGUCUUAUUAGAUGGUUAUCCAUCAGUAGGAAUAGCAGCCAUAGCUGUUAACAGUUAUUGAGUGAUCACUAUGGGCCAGGUCAGUGCUGAGCAUGCUACAUCCAUCAUCUCAUUGCCCUUUCAGAAAAUCACACUGCACUCAAAACUAAGCAGCACAGUGCAUCUGACAAUAUAUCUACUGUCAAACAGAGAGCUUGGAUACUGAAGGCCGUAACUCAGCACUCACACAUUCAGGGGGUGGGGAGGGGCAGUGUUCUGCUCAGAUCCUUUGCAUCAUUUCUUUUGCAUCAUUUCCCUGUGUCUCCCCUGGCUGAGGAUGCAUCUGUGGUUGUCCUUUAGAGGACUGUCCUGAGCUACUGGAGCCAUUACGCCAGCAGGAAUUGAGAAUAAAACGUUUACAUCUCCUCUGGGUGCAGCCAGCCCCUUGAUUCAGGUUGGGACACCUCUGAGGCCUAACUUUUCCUCCGGAGUUCCCCUGAUCAGGCUGAGGCUAAACUUCAUGGAGCUCUCCCUGAAAUGACAAACAUUUGCCUGGCUUUGUCUCCUUCCUUGUCCUGCUUCCCCCACUCUCUUACUGGUAUCCCCUG
rnacentral:lncRNA from 1 species